rnacentral:lncRNA from 1 species
GAAGUGAUGAGUUGUCAUUGUCGUCUUAAGCCACAAGGUUGUGGGGUGGCUUGUUCCCCAGCACUGGAAAACAAAACCUGCUGAGACUUGAUUUCCUGGACGUUGGCCCAGCCAUGGGAAGAAGUGAAAGGCAUUUGUGACAUGGAGGCAUGAGAUGGCCACGUCCAGAUCAGCGCAGCUGAAGAAGCUCAUUGCCAAGCAAGGAGACGGAUCACCAAAGACAUCAUUUUACUGCUACUUGGCCUGUGCUGUGUGGAAGCUGUAUCCAUCAAGGAUCUCCAGAGGAAGAGACCAGUGGAGUAAAGGCAUAUUAAAAGGAGAUUCCCUGGACUGGCUUGCACGGCACAAGCUAGGAGGUCCAGCUAUGGCUGUCUGCAUUCUGGAGAGUCUGGAAACCCAGUAGCUCCCCCAGUUCAUGAAGCUGAAAACCUCAGCAGUCCCAAUAUGACACUGAAAACCUUGAGGAUCCCUGGAGAGUCCCUGGUCUUUGGUCUACAUUUGAAGGCUGAGAAGGCUGGGUUCUGGUGUCUGCAAAGACAGUGGCAGCUACAGAGUAGAUGCACUCACCAGCAGGGAAUGAAGGUGAGCAGGUAAAGAACGGUACUGCUUUUCCCCUCCAACCUCUUCAAACUUGGGUCACAAUCAGGGAAAGCUGCCCAC